ensembl:lncRNA
AUGUCCCCAACCAUGACCCCACUUCCAUUGCCAUGUCCCCACCCAUGUCCCAUGUUCUCAUCAGUGUCCCCACUGCCAUGUCCCCGUCCUCAUCCAUGUCCCCAUCCAUAUCCCCACCCUUGUUCUUAUCAAUAUCCCCAAUCACGUCCCCAUCACCAUGCCUCCAUCCAUGUCCCCACCAUCAUCCCCACUGCCAUGUCCUCAUCCAUGUCCCCACCACCACAUUCCCAUCCAUGUCCCUAUCUCCAUGUCCCCAUUCAUUUCCCCACCUACAUUUUCAUCCACAGCCCCACUGCCACGUCCCCAUACAUGUCACAGAAUCACGUCCCCAUCCAUGACCUCAUCUCCAUGUCCCCAUCCCUGUCUCCAACUGUGUUCCUCAUCCAUGUCCCCAACCAUGUCCUUAUCACCAUGUCUCCAUCCAUAUCCACACCAAUGUCCCCAUCCAUGUCCCCACUGCCAUGUCCCCAUACGUGUCCUUAUCACCAUGUCUCAAUCCAUACCCAACAUCUAUAUCCCAAUCGUGUUCCCAUCCAUGUCCCAUGUCCCCAUCCAUAUCUCCAUCCACGUCCCCACGUCCUCAGCAAUAUCCCCAUCUCAUGUCCCCACCCAUGUCUACAUCCACAUCCCCAUCAGUGUCCCAUUCAAUGUCCCCAUCCAUGUCCCCAUCCAUGUCUCCAUCAAUGUCCCCAUCACCAUGUCCCCAUCCAUACCCACACCAACCUCCCCACUCAUGUUCCCAUCCAUGUUCCAUGUCCUCAUCAAUGUCCCCAUCCAUGUCCCCAUCCAUGUCCCCAACUGUCCCCCCAUCCGUGUCCCCAUCCAUGUCCUUAUCACCAUGUCUCCAUCCAUACCCACACCAAUGUCCCCAUCCAUGUCCCCACUGCCAUGUCCCCAUACAUGUCCCUAACACCAUGUCUCAAUCCAUACCCAACAUCAAUAUCCCCAUCAUGUCCCCACCCAUGUCUACAUCCACAUCCCCAUCAGUGUCCCAUUCAAUGUCCCCAUCCAUAUCCCCAUCCGUCUCCAACCAUGUCCCCAUCACCACGUCCCCAUCCAUACCCACACCAACGUCCCCACCCAUGUUCCCAUCCAUGUUCCACGUCCUCAUCAAUGUCCCCAUCCAUGUCCCCAGCUGUGUCCUCAUACGUGUCCCCACCCAUGUCCUUAUCACCAUGUCUCCAUCCAUACCCACACCAAUGUCCCCAUCCAUGUCCCCAUCUCCAUGUCCCCAUACAUGUCCCUAACACCAUGUCUCAAUCCAUACCCAACAUCUAUAUCCCCAUCAUGUUCCCAUCCAUGUCCCAUGUCCCCAUCCAUGUCUCCAUCCACGUCCCACAUCCUCAGCAAUAUCCCCAUCUCAUGUCCCCACCCAUGUCUACAUCCCCAUCCCCAUCAGUGUCCCAUUCAAUGUCCCCAUCCAUGACCCCAUCUCCAUGUCUCCAUCCAUGUCCCCAUUACCAUGUCCCCAUCCAUACCCACACCAACGUCCCCACCAUGUUCCACGUCCUCAUCAAUGUCCCCAUCAACAUGUCCCCAUCAGUGUCCCCAUCCAUGUCCCUAUCACCAUGUCUCAAUCCACACCCAAAAUCCACGUCCCCAUCCCCGUCCCCACCCCCACAUCCCCAUCCCCACCCCGUCCCCACCGCCCUCACCAGAUAA